ACCUUUCUCCCCUUCUCUAUAUCCUGUUCAUGGUGGAGCAGAGCAUUCCUCAGGCUGUCGCAGGUUACGUUGAAUCCCAAGAGUUUUUAUAAAGUGGCCAUACAGGGGUGCAGUGAGCAUCUGGAACAGAUAAAGACAUCUUCCCUGCCUAUUCGAGAAAUAGGAUCCGUCCUGUAAAAUAAAAACUCAAGUUUGGCAACAUAGAAGUACAUUUUGGAAAA